rnacentral:rRNA from 1 species
CUACAGAGGGUGCGAGCGUUAAUCGGAAUUACUGGGCGUAAAGCGCGCGUAGGCGGUUAUUUAAGUCAGAUGUGAAAUCCCUGGGCUCAACCUAGGAACUGCAUCUGAAACUGGGUAACUAGAGUUUAGGAGAGGGGAGUAGAAUUUCGGGUGUAGCGGUGAAAUGCAUAGAGAUCCGAAGGAAUACCAGUGGCGAAGGCGACUCCCUGGCCUAGAACUGACGCUGAGGUGCGAAAGCGUGGGUAGCAAACGGGAUUAGAAACCCUAGUAGUCC